ACAGGUCUGUGAUGCCCUUAGAUGUUCUGGGCCGCACGCGCGCUACAAUGCUAGGUUCAACGAGUAUCGGACUUGGUCGAGAGGCCUGGUUAAUCUUUUGAAAUCCUAGCGUGCUUGGGCUUGCCUCUUGCAACUAGAGGCACCAACGAGGAAUUCCUAGUAGACGCAGGUCAUCAACCUGCAUCGAUUACGUCCCUGCCCUUUGUACACACCGCCCGUCGCUUCUACCGAUUGGUCGUCCCGGUGAAUGAUCGGGAGGGCGCGCUGCUGACCAGCAAUGGUCACAGUGCGUUCGAACUUUUGUAAAUUUGGUCGACUAGAGGAAGAAGAAGUCGUAACAAGGUUUCCGUAGGUGAACCUGCGGAAGGAUCAUUAGCGUUAUGGGAUUUUGUAAUCCUUUGGUUAAAUGUGGAAUUUGAACAAGUGACUUGGUAAUCUUUACGAAUUGGAAACGUUUGGCUUAUGGAUACAUUUAUAAAAAAUACAACUCUUAGCAAUGGAUAUCUUGGUUCCCACAACGAUGAAGAACGCAGCGAAAUGCGAUACGUAAUGCGAAUUGCAGGACUCAGUGAAUCAUCGAAUCUUUGAACGCAUGUUGCGCUUUCGAGAGCCCUCGGAAGCAUGCCUCUCUGAGUAUCGGUUCCUAUAUCACAUCUUGAUGUGGACAAUGAGAGUCGAUUCGUUCGUCUCUUGAAAUCAUGUCGGCAACCGAAAGUCCAUCGGAUUCUUGGAACGAUAAUCCGCCAUGGCGCCCGAACCAUACAAGAUCUCAGAUGAGGUAAGAUUACCCCCUGAAUUUAAGCAUA
rnacentral:rRNA from 1 species